rnacentral:rRNA from 1 species
UUUAAUUCGAUGCAACGCGAAGAACCUUACCUGGUCUUGACAUCCACGGAAGUUUUCAGAGAUGAGAAUGUGCCUUCGGGAACCGUGAGACAGGUGCUGCAUGGCUGUCGUCAGCUCGUGUUGUGAAAUGUUGGGUUAAGUCCCGCAACGAGCGCAACCCUUAUCCUUUGUUGCCAGCGGUCCGGCCGGGAACUCAAAGGAGACUGCCAGUGAUAAACUGGAGGAAGGUGGGGAUGACGUCAAGUCAUCAUGGCCCUUACGACCAGGGCUACACACGUGCUACAAUGGCGCAUACAAAGAGAAGCGACCUCGCGAGAGCAAGCGGACCUCAUAAAGUGCGUCGUAGUCCGGAUUGGAGUCUGCAACUCGACUCCAUGAAGUCGGAAUCGCUAGUAAUCGUGGAUAGAGCCA